UGGUUUAGCUCAGUGGUAGAGCAUUUGACUUGUAAUCAAAAGGUCGGUAGUUCAAUCCUGCCA
rnacentral:tRNA from 1 species